rnacentral:rRNA from 1 species
GACGAACGCUGGCGGCGUGCUUAACACAUGCAAGUCGAACGAAGUGGCGAACGGGUGAGUAACGCGUAAUCAACCUGCCCUUCAGGGGGGGACAACAGUUGGAAACGACUGCUAAUACCGCAUACUGAAGGAGGGGAUUGCGUCUGAUUAGCUAGUUGAAGGGGUAACGGCCCACCAAGGCGAUGAUCAGUAGCCGGUCUGAGAGGAUGACCGGCCACAUUGGGACUGAGACACGGCCCAGACUCCUACGGGAGGCAGCAGUGGGGAAUCUUCGGCAAUGGACGAAAGUCUGACCGAGUAACGCCGCGUGAGUGAAGAAGGUUUUCGGAUCGUAAAACUCUGUUGUUAGGGAAGCGGUAUCUAACCAGAAAGCCACGGCUAACUCCGUGCCAGCAGCCGCGGUAAUAC